GAUGAACGCUGGCGGCGUGCCUAACACAUGCAAGUCGAGCGAAGCGCUUAAAUUAGAUUUCUUCGGAAUGACGAUUUUUGUGACUGAGCGGCGGACGGGUGAGUAACGCGUGGGUAACCUGCCUCAUACAGGGGGAUAACAGUUAGAAAUGACUGCUAAUACCGCAUAAGACCCCAGCUUCGCAUGAAGCGGUGGUAAAAACUCCGGUGGUAUGAGAUGGACCCGCGUCUGAUUAGCUAGUUGGUAAGGUAACGGCUUACCAAGGCGACGAUCAGUAGCCGACCUGAGAGGGUGACCGGCCACAUUGGGACUGAGACACGGCCCAGACUCCUACGGGAGGCAGCAGUGGGGAAUAUUGCACAAUGGGGGAAACCCUGAUGCAGCGACGCCGCGUGAAGGAUGAAGUAUUUCGGGAUGUAAACUUCUAUCAGCAGGGAAGAAAGUGACGGUACCUGACGAAGAAGCCCCGGCUAACUACGUG
rnacentral:rRNA from 1 species